GGGGCGGGUUUUGUCGCAAGCCCGCUGGGCAAACCCGCGGCGCAAGCCCGUUAAGCGCCGCAGUUCAGCCCGCAUAGCUGAAGCGGCUCUUUGCGGCGUGCCCGCAAGGCCCAGCGGCGCCGUGAGCCCGCAAAAAGAAAGGACAUCACGGGACAGGGAGGCGAAGGGGAGAGAGGGCGUCGACCUGAGAUCCAGAAGCGAGGGCGCCGGUGCGCCGCCCCCCGCCGGCCUCACGUGCGUGCGUCCAUGGCGUCGUCGUCUUGCGCGCCGCCGCCCGCUUGCGUGCUGCUGCCACCAACUGCCGAUGGAUCCACAGCUACCCGCGAUCCGUUCUCGCCUCUUCUCCCCUCUCCACGAGAACAAUGAGAAAUCAGUGCAAGUGUCUGCGGCGAUGGUGUGCCCCAAGUAGGAGUUUAUUGGAUUUUGGAUGCACGUUGGGAAAAGCUAGGGAAGGAAGGCUGGAACAAGGGCGCCAGCUGCAUAAGCGAAAGCAGCGGCGGCAAGAACAACAAGAUCGGACUCCUCCCCAAGAAACCAGGUCAAUGGUUAGCCUACCUUCAAUUAGCCAUGAUAGUAUUAGCCUGCACUGGAUACUGGAUGCUUGGCAAUUCUCUGUUUUCAGAUAGCUCUUGCAAAUAACAGGUUGGUUGCCUGCUGUGUAAUUUGCUUAUUAAUGUAUAUGUGUCAAAUUAGAGGCUAUCUGUUUGUUGAUUGCUGCAUUCGACCACUUGUUCAAUGGUUAUCACAUUGUUCAUUUGUUUCCUGUGAGGUGAAGGUAAUAUGCAAUAUGAAUCUGAAUUUAGAAGUUCAUGUUUUAUGAUAUCUCUAUCAACAUUCAGUCUAUAUAUCCAGUUUCAAUACUACAAUCAGCAGAUUCUUGUGACUAGUUGGACAACUCAUGCAGUUUCUGUAAGAGCUUAAUGAAUUCUACAUGUGAGAUGAACACCAGUUUGCAAUAACUGAAAUUUCAAAAAGAAAAAAUUGUGGCUCUGACUUCACAUCCAUUGAUGCUCCAAUUGAUUUGGUUAUAUGUGCACACAGGAGAAGAUGCCAAGCUCAACGCGAUUAGUGUCAGUGCUUACUAUUGUAGUAAAAAAGUUAAUGUCCAUAAGUUAUGUUAGCAUUUCCUUCCAUAUUAUUUUUUCGAAGAAUCGUUUCCUCCCAUAUUCUAAAGUUAACUUUACUGCACUUUAGUCAUUGAGCCAUUUGCUAAUUCCUUGGAUUAUAGUUGCAAUAUAUCUGAAUGACUUUUUCAUUUUGGGAUUGCAGCAAGGCGAUCGUUGUCACAGUUCAAGAACCUUAUCAUCUCUUUAUUGGGGCAUGUUUUAUUUGGGGGCACAUUAGUAUUUGCUUUGUCAGGAAAAAAGAUAUGACUGCGCAAUGGUGUUUCAGAUUGUUGAAGCCUGAACUUUUGACUGCGCAAUAGUGAUUUCUGCUCUUUUGUACUAGUUCACUAAAUUAUAGAUGGGUGACAUUUUGCUGGUUGUUCUGCAGACGGAUAGGAAAAUGAAGCAUGAGAACUACUUUCCCAUUAGCAUUGCUGAGUGUUGUCGAUUUAGCCAUAUUUCAGAAACAGUUGUGUUUCAUUUAUCCAUUGAUAUGUAAUAAGGAUAAAGUUGUUUUUAAACAAAAAAGUAUGCUUUUAUUCUU